rnacentral:rRNA from 1 species
GGACUACCAGGGUAUCUAAUCCUGUUUGCUACCCACGCUUUCGUGCCUCAGCGUCAGAAAUCGUCCAGAAAGCCGUUUACACCACCGGUGUUCCUCCUGAUAUCUACGCAUUUCACCGCUACACCAGGAAUUCCACUUUCCUCUCCGACCCUCUAGUCCCGCAGUCUAUAGCGCACCCUCCCAGUUAAGCCGGGAGAUUUCACACCAUACUUACAGGACCGCCUACGCACCCUUUACGCCCAGUAACUCCGAACAACGCUUGCUGCCUACGUAUUACCGCGGCUGCUGGCAC